AUUUAUUUAAUAUAUUGAGUAUAUUUGACUUCCAAUCAAAAAGCCUGUUAUAGCAGAAUAAAUA
rnacentral:tRNA from 1 species